UACAGAGGUCUCAAGCGUUGUUCGGAUUCAUUGGGCGUAAAGGGUGCGUAGGCGGCGCGGUAAGUCAGUGGUGAAAUCUCCGUGCUUAACAUGGAAACUGCCAUUGAUACUACUGGUCUUGAAUUUUCUGGAGGUAAGCGGAAUAUGUCAUGUAGCGGUGAAAUGCUUAGAUAUGACAUAGAACACCAAAUUGCGAAAGGCAGCUUACUACAGGGAUAUUGACACUGAGGCACGAAAGCGUGGGGGAUCAAAACAG
rnacentral:rRNA from 1 species